AUUGAGCGAAGUGCCUGGCACUUGGGCAUUGAAAAAAAAAAAAAGAAAGCAGAGAAGGAAAGAAGGAAGAGAGAAAGGAAGAAUGAAGAGAAGGGAGAAGAGAUGGAGACAGAAAGGCAAGACAGGGAGAUGUAGGAUUCUCAGCUACUUCUCCAGCCCCAUGGCUGCCUUCGUGCUGCCAUGUUCCUGCCAUGAUGAUAAUGGACUGAACUUCUGAACUACUCUUGGGAACAAGUUGGCUAGCCAGCCACAUGUCCCUUACAGGGAACCUGAGGACAAAGCCAGCACAGGAAGAUGGAUCCCAGGGAUACAAGGUUCUGGAGAUGUUCAAGUCCUGCCAUUGGGAGCUAUCCCUGUGCCUGGUCCUCCCAGUUUGUUAUCAGCCAAUAAGUACUCUUUUCAGUUAUGUCAUUUCAAUUCAGAUCAGUCAAGAGAAUCCUGAAUGGUGUGCUACACCAAUGUGAGGGUAAAAGGAUAAUGGUUUGUAUAG
rnacentral:lncRNA from 1 species